CAGAGUUUGUCCUGGCUCAGGACGAACGCUGGCGGCGCGCCUAACACAUGCAAGUCGAACGGAGAUUAUAGGCGGAAGUUUUCGGAUGGAAGCUUGUAAACUUAGUGGCGGACGGGUGAGUAACACGUGAGCAACCUGCCUAUCAGAGGGGGAUAACGAUUGGAAACGAUCGCUAAUACCGCAUGACAUAGCGGAAUCGCAUGGUUCUGUUAUCAAAGAUUUUAUCGCUGAUAGAUGGGCUCGCG
rnacentral:rRNA from 1 species